AAUGAUGUGAAUAUAAAUAAUUUACAUCCACAGUAUGCAGAUAUCGUUGGCGAUCCAAAAUUAUGUCAUACUGGGAUGUAUGCUAUUCUCUAUAUGCAACAUUGGGAUGGAAGUGGUCUUAAUAGAACCAUUAAUUCUGAACGCAUGAGCCUUGAAAGAUUGAAAUUUGCAACUCAUAUGGUUCUUGAUAGCGAAAACGAAAUUGGUGAAAUGGUUACAACUAAUAUUUG